rnacentral:rRNA from 1 species
UACGUAGGGGGCAAGCGUUGUCCGGAAUCAUUGGGCGUAAAGCGCGUGUAGGCGGUUUCGUAAGUCUGCUGUGAAAGUCGGAGGCUCAACCUUCGAAAGCCGGUGGAUACUGUGAGACUUGAGUACGGAAGAGGAGAGUGGAAUUCCUGGUGUAGCGGUGAAAUGCGCAGAUAUCAGGAGGAACACCAAAGGCGAAGGCAGCUCUCUGGGACGUUACUGACGCUGAGACGCGAAAGCGUGGGGAGCAAACAGG